rnacentral:misc_RNA from 1 species
GACUUUUCGUUACACUUUUAUAAAGUUCAGGAGUUUAAUAGGUUACACUUUUACAAAGUUCAAGCAUCAUAUGAAAUUUAACUAAAGGCGAGAGUGUCAAGUGACUUUUCGUACAAAACCUAGAGACCAAAAGAUGCUUUUGGUCUAUUCUCAUUUUAGGAUUGUAAAAGAUGAAAUCAUAUAAAAUAAUUGUAUUAUUUGAAUAUGCAAAAGCACCCCUAGUACAUGCUCAUGUUAAACGGUUUUUGUUUAACUCCAGGAAUAAAUCCAAAUUGAUAACUACAAGAAAGUACAGAAGCAAAAUAAUGCAGAUGAAUUUAGAAAAUCACCAACCUCAGACUCCAGGGCUUCAAGCA